CCUACGGGAGGCAGCAGUGGGGGAUAUUGCACAAUGGGGGAAACCCUGAUGCAGCGACGCCGCGUGGGUGAAGAAGUAUUUCGGUAUGUAAAGCCCUAUCAGCAGGGAAGAAAGAAGACGGUACCUGACUAAGAAGCCCCGGCUAACUACGUGCCAGCAGCCGCGGUAAUACGUAGGGGGCGAGCGUUAUCCGGAUUCACUGGGUGUAAAGGGAGCGUAGACGGCCGUGCAAGCCAGGAGUGAAAGCCCGGGGCCCAACCCCGGGACUGCACUUGGAAGUGUGCGGCUGGAGUGCGGGAGGGGCAGGCAGAAUUCCAGGUGUAGCGGUGAAAUGCGUAGAGAUCUGGAGGAACACCGGCGGCGAAGGCGGCCUGCUGGACCGCGACUGACGUUGAGGCUCGAAAGCGUGGGGAGCGAACAGGAUUAGAUACCCUAGUAGUC
rnacentral:rRNA from 1 species